rnacentral:rRNA from 1 species
AUAACCUGCCUGUAUGACCGGGAUAACAGUUGGAAACGACUGCUAAUACCGGAUAGGCAGAGAGGAGGCAUCUCUUCUCUGUUAAAGUUGGAAUACAACGCAAACAGAUGGACCUGCGGUGCAUUAGCUAGUUGGUGAGGUAACGGCCCACCAAGGCGAUGAUGCAUAGCCGGCCUGAGAGGGCGAACGGCCACAUUGGGACUGAGACACGGCCCAA